GCUCGGCGCGGCUCGUCCCGCAGCCGGCGCUGCCCCGGGCUGGGGCGAUCUCGCAUUACUCCCUGCCCUCCCCCGCGCUCCCCCCUCCGGGCCAGCUGAGAAGUUGCAACUGGUAGAGAUAUUUGUCCUUGGGGUUUGGGUUUUUUAUUUUAUUUCCUUUUAUUCCUUAAUCACCGCAGCUCACAAAAACAUGACCUGAGGCUGCUCCUUUUCCAUCAGAUCUGAGCAGGGGCGCCUCAGCGCCAGACAACUAAGCACAACAAAUCCUGGCGAGCUGCAGUGAACGACAGCAAGAGGGAGGGGAGGCGGUGGUGCACGGGCAGCGCCGCCGGUGCCGGGUCUGCAGGGGCUCUCGGCCGCUGCUCGGGGCUCUGCGGGGCUCCGGUGUCGGGGCAAUGUACCAAAACCGGGGAGCAGCAGAUAGAGAAGGCGAAGGGGGGCUGGGCGCCAGCAACUCCUCGGGACGGAAGGGGCUCGGAGCGUCCCGGGAGCUCCCAAGCUGCGCGCCCCGCGGCUCUCCACACCCCUCCCAUGCCAUGCCACGCCACAGCCGGCCAGCCAGCCCCAGUGUCCCAGCCCCAGUGUCCCAGCCCCAGUGUCCCGGCCCCGGGCGAGGAACCGCGUAGGCAGCAGCAGCUCCGCACCAGCGGCCCCGGCCCCGCUGCGAGGGAGAGUGCGGUGCUGACAUUUCUGCCGCCACUUCAUUUCCAGGCCCUGAGAGAGUCCCCUAUAAAGGUCCCGGAGCGUGCGUGGGACGGUGAGACGUGGCAGCGCGGGCUGCAGCGGGGGCGCGCAGGCAUCUCCCCCCAGCCAAUUCCCUGAACUGAUACUUGCAAAAUGAAGAGGAAGAUAGGAGUGAGAAUGAAGAAUGCCUUGGAGAAAUCCAGUCAUAAAGUUUGAGGAGUAGAAGUAAUAGGAAAUAUUAAUAACUCUGGUCUCUUGCAUAAGUCAGAAUUCAGACUGAAAUGAUGUAAAGUUACAAACCUGAGACAUAAGGGCUAUUAAAUUUGAAUCAAGAUUCACAGAUUUUUAUAUUAAUGCAUAAUAAAAAUAUUUGCUUUUUCCCCUCA
rnacentral:lncRNA from 1 species